rnacentral:rRNA from 1 species
AGAGUUUGAUCCUGGCUCAGAUUGAACGCUGGCGGCAUGCCUUACACAUGCAAGUCGAACGGCAGCACGGGAGCAAUCCUGGUGGCGAGUGGCGAACGGGUGAGUAAUAUAUCGGAACGUGCCCAGUCGUGGGGGAUAACGCAGCGAAAGCUGUGCUAAUACCGCAUACGAUCUCUGGAUGAAAGCGGGGGACUCGCAAGGGCCUCGCGCGAUUGGAGCGGCCGAUAUCAGAUUAGCUAGUUGGUGGGGUAAAAGCCCACCAAGGCGACGAUCUGUAGCUGGUCUGAGAGGACGACCAGCCACACUGGAACUGAGACACGGUCCAGACUCCUACGGGAGGCAGCAGUGGGGUAUUUUGGGCAAUGGGCGCAAGCCUGAUCCAGCAAUGCCGCGUGCAGGAUGAAGGCCUUCGGGUUGUAAACU